rnacentral:rRNA from 1 species
AUUGAACGCUGGCGGCAUGCCUUACACAUGCAAGUCGAACGGCAGCGCGGACUUCGGUCUGGCGGCGAGUGGCGAACGGGUGAGUAAUACAUCGGAACGUACCCUGUUGUGGGGGAUAACUAGUCGAAAGAUUAGCUAAUACCGCAUACGACCUGAGGGUGAAAGUGGGGGACCGCAAGGCCUCACGCAGCAGGAGCGGCCGAUGUCUGAUUAGCUAGUUGGUGGGGUAAAGGCCCACCAAGGCGACGAUCAGUAGCUGGUCUGAGAGGACGAUCAGCCAGAGGGGAAAUGAGACACGGAGGGGGCGCCUCCGAGAGGCAGCAGUGGGGAAUAUUGGAGAAGGGGGGAAAGCCUGAUCCAGCCAUGGAGGGGGUGUGAAGAAGGUUGUCGGAUUGUAGGGCAGUUGAAGUGGGGAGGAAGAGAAGUAAGUGGAUACCUGGCUGCGGUGACGGGACCAAAAGAAGAAGCACCGGCUAACUUCGUG